rnacentral:rRNA from 1 species
ACGAACGCUGGCGGCGCGCUUAACACAUGCAAGUCGAACGGAAAGGCCUGCUUUCCCUUGUGGAUUGCGGGUACUCGAGUGGCGAACGGGUGAGUAACACGUGAGUGAUCUGCCCCCAACUUGGGUAUAAGCCUGGGAAACUGGGUCUAAUUCCCGAUAGGACUGCAGGGUGGUGCCUGUGGUGGAAAACGAUUUUCUAGUGGUUGGGGAUGAGCUCGCGGCCUAUCAGCUUGUUGGUGGGGUAAUGGCCUACCAAGGCGGCGACGGGUAGCCGGCCUGAGAGGGUGGACGGCCACAUUGGGACUGAGAUACGGCCCAGACUCCUACGGGAGGCAGCAGUGGGGAAUAUUGCACAAUGGGCGGAAGCCUGAUGCAGCGACGCCGCGUGGGGGAUGACGGCCUUCGGGUUGUAAACUCCUUUCGACCGCGAGGAAGCCACCUGGUUGGAAGGGUGGUGACGGUAGUGGUAGAAGAGGCACCGGCUAACUACGUG